AGUCGUCGUGGUCGGCGGUGGUGCAAUACCGCGCCGCGUCGCGGUAGAAACCGCCUGCCGCUGCCUCCACGUGUACUCGCCGCAUUUUUUUAUAGCGAUCACCGACCUCGUGCAACUCGUCGCGCAGUAAGGACGUUGAGUUACAUCACGAACCGUGACUACAUAUCAUCUCUUCUAAACAAAUCUAUUGAUAUGGAAAAUGUAAUUGAUCGCGAAAAACGACGCUACUAGCGCGACCAAAGUUCGCGGCCAAGGAGAAAACUAUCGAUUUCAAUAUCAGCAAUUUUUUAUUUUUUUUUUCUUCUUUUAAAUAUUUAUUUGAAAAUAUUUCAAAAAAGUUUUGUAAAUUUUUUAUUAAAUUUUAAUUGCAAUUUAUUGAUAUAAAUUCAAUAUUUCUAUAUAUUUAUACAAUCGGAUUUUAUAUAAAUCGGAUAUUAAAAUUAAUAAGUAUUAAAAUAGACAAAUCCAUUGAUUUUAUAACUUGUAUGAAAUGUUACUAUACAAUUAAUUCAGUAUUAACUGAACUUCAAUUAACUGAAGAAAAAGAAAACAAAAUAAACAUCAAUUUAUAUAUCAUUUUCAAUAUUCAUAUUUCAAAAUUAAAAAUUUUGAUUUUAAAAUCAUUCAUUCUUGUAUAAUGUAUAAUAGAGAAAUGUCAAAAUCUCCCA